UGAUGCAUCUGUUCUAAUACUUUUAUGGAAUUAUAUAUAGGGGCUGCUGAUUGUGUGCGUUUACUAGUUAGAUUUUGUUUGCAAUCAAGGGUGAACACUAUGAUCGUAGUAUCAUCUCCAUGACUGGAAAGUUUGUGCCUAUACCAUUGCUUCUUUCCUUCAGGCUUAAACAUUUGGUAUCACAUCUCAUUAGAGCGAGCGUGUGACCUAUGUAGCUGGGAUUACUUUGGAUUCAGCGCAACAUCGGCAGCUUAUAUUUAUAAUUUGGAACCAAACAUCAUGUGCUUAUUCUUGUAUGUGAAUGUUCUCUUGAAAAUCUUAGCUGUAUUCUUUGGAGCUUAUGUGUAUAUAUAUCUCUCUCUCUGUGUGUGUGUGUAGUCGUCACUAGUUGACAAUUUAAGUAUCUUGAUACCUCAUAAAUUUUGUAACAAACAUUGCUGGUGUUGUUUUGUUAGAAGUCAAUAUGUAUCAAAAUUUGUAAUUCUGAAUCAUCUAUUUUCUUUCUCUA
rnacentral:lncRNA from 1 species